UGGGGAAUAUUGGGCAAUGGGCGCAAGCCUGACCCAGCAACGCCGCGUGAAGGAAGAAGGCUUUCGGGUUGUAAACUUCUUUUCUGAGGGACGAACAAAUGACGGUACCUCAGGAAUAAGCCACGGCUAACUACGUGCC
rnacentral:rRNA from 1 species